rnacentral:rRNA from 1 species
AGAUUAAGUUAUUAAGGGCGCACGGUGGAUGCCUUGGCACUAGAAGCCGAUGAAGGACGUUACUAACGACGAUAUGCUUUGGGGAGCUGUAAGUAAGCUUUGAUCCAGAGAUUUCCGAAUGGGGAAACCCAGCAUGAGUUAUGUCAUGUUAUCGAUAUGUGAAUACAUAGCAUAUCAGAAGGCACACCCGGAGAACUGAAACAUCUUAGUACCCGGAGGAAGAGAAAGAAAAUUCGAUUCCCUUAGUAGCGGCGAGCGAAACGGGAAGAGCCCAAACCAACAAGCUUGCUUGUUGGGGUUGUAGGACACUCUAUACGGAGUUACAAAGGACGACAUUAGACGAAUCAUCUGGAAAGAUGAAUCAAAGAAGGUAAUAAUCCUGUAGUCGAAAAUGUUGUCUCUCUUGAGUGGAUCCUGAGUACGACGGAGCACGUGAAAUUCCGUCGGAAUCUGGGAGGACCAUCUCCUAAGGCUAAAUACUCUCUAGUGACCGAUAGUGAACCAGUACCGUGAGGGAAAGGUGAAAAGCACCCCGGAAGGGGAGUGAAAUAGAACCUGAAACCGUGUGCUUACAAGUAGUCAGAGCCCGUUAAUGGGUGAUGGCGUGCCUUUUGUAGAAUGAACCGGCGAGUUACGAUUUGAUGCAAGGUUAAGCAGUAAAUGUGGAGCCGUAGCGAAAGCGAGUCUGAAUAGGGCGUUUAGUAUUUGGUCGUAGACCCGAAACCAGGUGAUCUACCCUUGGUCAGGUUGAAGUUCAGGUAACACUGAAUGGAGGACCGAACCGACUUACGUUGAAAAGUGAGCGGAUGAACUGAGGGUAGCGGAGAAAUUCCAAUCGAACCUGGAGAUAGCUGGUUCUCUCCGAAAUAGCUUUAGGGCUAGCCUCAAGUGAUGAUUAUUGGAGGUAGAGCACUGUUUGGACGAGGGGCCCCUCUCGGGUUACCGAAUUCAGACAAACUCCGAAUGCCAAUUAAUUUAACUUGGGAGUCAGAACAUGGGUGAUAAGGUCCGUGUUCGAAAGGGAAACAGCCCAGACCACCAGCUAAGGUCCCAAAAUAUAUGUUAAGUGGAAAAGGAUGUGGCGUUGCCCAGACAACUAGGAUGUUGGCUUAGAAGCAGCCAUCAUUUAAAGAGUGCGUAAUAGCUCACUAGUCGAGUGACACUGCGCCGAAAAUGUACCGGGGCUAAACAUAUUACCGAAGCUGUGGAUUGUCCUUUGGACAAUGGUAGGAGAGCGUUCUAAGGGCGUUGAAGCAUGAUCGUAAGGACAUGUGGAGCGCUUAGAAGUGAGAAUGCCGGUGUGAGUAGCGAAAGACGGGUGAGAAUCCCGUCCACCGAUUGACUAAGGUUUCCAGAGGAAGGCUCGUCCGCUCUGGGUUAGUCGGGUCCUAAGCUGAGGCCGACAGGCGUAGGCGAUGGAUAACAGGUUGAUAUUCCUGUACCACCUAUAAUCGUUUUAAUCGAUGGGGGGACGCAGUAGGAUAGGCGAAGCGUGCGAUUGGAUUGCACGUCUAAGCAGUAAGGCUGAGUAUUAGGCAAAUCCGGUACUCGUUAAGGCUGAGCUGUGAUGGGGAGAAGACAUUGAGUCUUCGAGUCGUUGAUUUCACACUGCCGAGAAAAGCCUCUAGAUAGAAAAUAGGUGCCCGUACCGCAAACCGACACAGGUAGUCAAGAUGAGAAUUCUAAGGUGAGCGAGCGAACUCUCGUUAAGGAACUCGGCAAAAUGACCCCGUAACUUCGGGAGAAGGGGUGCUCUUUAGGGUUAACGCCCAGAAGAGCCGCAGUGAAUAGGCCCAAGCGACUGUUUAUCAAAAACACAGGUCUCUGCUAAACCGUAAGGUGAUGUAUAGGGGCUGACGCCUGCCCGGUGCUGGAAGGUUAAGAGGAGUGGUUAGCUUCUGCGAAGCUACGAAUCGAAGCCCCAGUAAACGGCGGCCGUAACUAUAACGGUCCUAAGGUAGCGAAAUUCCUUGUCGGGUAAGUUCCGACCCGCACGAAAGGCGUAACGAUUUGGGCACUGUCUCAACGAGAGACUCGGUGAAAUCAUAGUACCUGUGAAGAUGCAGGUUACCCGCGACAGGACGGAAAGACCCCGUGGAGCUUUACUGUAGCCUGAUAUUGAAAUUCGGCACAGCUUGUACAGGAUAGGUAGGAGCCUUUGAAACGUGAGCGCUAGCUUACGUGGAGGCGCUGGUGGGAUACUACCCUAGCUGUGUUGGCUUUCUAACCCGCACCACUUAUCGUGGUGGGAGACAGUGUCAGGCGGGCAGUUUGACUGGGGCGGUCGCCUCCUAAAAGGUAACGGAGGCGCUCAAAGGUUCCCUCAGAAUGGUUGGAAAUCAUUCAUAGAGUGUAAAGGCAUAAGGGAGCUUGACUGCGAGACCUACAAGUCGAGCAGGGUCGAAAGACGGACUUAGUGAUCCGGUGGUUCCGCAUGGAAGGGCCAUCGCUCAACGGAUAAAAGCUACCCCGGGGAUAACAGGCUUAUCUCCCCCAAGAGUUCACAUCGACGGGGAGGUUUGGCAMCUCGAUGUCGGCUCAUCGCAUCCUGGGGCUGUAGUCGGUCCCAAGGGUUGGGCUGUUCGCCCAUUAAAGCGGUACGCGAGCUGGGUUCAGAACGUCGUGAGACAGUUCGGUCCCUAUCCGUCGUGGGCGUAGGAAAUUUGAGAGGAGCUGUCCUUAGUACGAGAGGACCGGGAUGGACAUACCUCUGGUGUACCAGUUGUCGUGCCAACGGCAUAGCUGGGUAGCUAUGUGUGGACGGGAUAAGUGCUGAAAGCAUCUAAGCAUGAAGCCCCCCUC